CAGGCCUUGGCUCGGCUCGCCUCUCCUCACUUUCCUUCUGCGGGAGCUCACUGCCGGCGCACAGGUGUCCUGCCACGCCCCGCAAGAUGUUCACACAAUUUAUGGCACACCAGCAGGGAAUUCUCUACAGUAUCUUCUGAAGAACAGAAGUUUUUAACUUUGUUCAGCAUGCAGAACUACCCCCACCAAGGAUGCAACCCGCAGUAGAAGCUCAAGAGUCUUAACCACUGAACCACUAGGAAGUCCUGGAUUUUGACUAUUUUAAUAGACCAUAGACACUGGAAUACUCUCAAGUUUGGGAAGACAACUCACUUUGGAGAUUCAAAGGCCUGGAUUUGCUUCCAGAUUCACCGCGUCCUGGCUGUGUGAGUCAAUCAUCAGAAAAGAGCGAAUUGGUUAUGGUGGUGGAUUGGAAGCUGGGUGGCGGCUAGCUCUCUGUCUCCGCCCUGGACUGCAGGACUCCCGAGAAUCCAGCCCUCAAGCUACCCCUCUGAGUCUGCAGCAGGGCAGGAACACACUUUCCCGUCUGUUUUCUAAGGGCGGCAAAACUCCUGCACGAUAAGUAGUGAGUCUCUUCAUGGAGCUACUUGCAAGU